rnacentral:rRNA from 2 species
GACGAACCGAGCGAACGUUGUUCGGAAUCACUGGGCUUAAAGGGCGCGUAGGCGGGUGCUCAAGUCUGUGGUGAAAUCCUCCAGCUCAACUGGAGAACUGCCAUGGAUACUGGGUGCCUCGAGGGUGGUAGGGGUAUGCGGAACUAUCGGUGGAGCGGUGAAAUGCGUUGAUAUCGAUAGGAACUCCGGUGGCGAAGGCGGCAUACUGGACCACAUCUGACGCUGAGGCGCGAAAGCCAGGGGAGCAAACGGG